AGUAAUAAUAAUAAUAGUAAUAAGAAAAAUUUUGACACUCGUUCACGUCUGUUAUCAAGUCUAUUAAUAAUAGUUUGAUAGAUGGGAGAGCUUUCCAUUGAACAAAUAUAGGGAUACAUCUACAUAUUUCACAGCUAUAUGUUAUAUCGAAAAAGACUUCAUUUUGAAUGCGAUCCACUCAUUGCUUUAAAAUGCCAGGAUUACAAUACAUGUGUAUUCGGUCAAAUAUAAGGCGCUUGUAGAAUUGUUAUUGGGUUGACAAGAAGGAUUACUAUAUCUUAUAGACAUAUGUAUAUCAUUGAUAGUAUAAUCCUAUUUACUAAACAAUAUAUUAUAUUAUUAAUAAGAAUUUAGUACCUAGAAGAGCAAAAAAAAAAAAUGAAAAACUCCUUUAAUAUUUAGUUCUAAACUAUAUACAUUGAUAGAUGUGUGCAAGGGAACAUGCAUUUCAAUGAUAUCCUCGAGAUAAUUGUAUUGCAGAGAUAAUAAUAAUAAACUACCCCGAAGUAAAUGUGCGGACCACCCUUACAGCUUGCAACUGCAACUGUGUAAGUAAAUGUUACCUACUCGCAUGUGUAUGUGUGUGUGUGAGUGAGUAUGCGAGUGUGUGAGUGUGCAUACUUCGCAGGGCUAACCCCUAAUUGCAGUACCAUAAAAAACUGCAAUUUAAACAAAGGACAACGAAUGAGUAGAGCUCUCAGAGCGACAAGAGAGAGGAGAUAUUGCUGGCAGGAGAAGAGCAGGAACCGCCAGGCACCAGGCACCAAGCUGCAGGACUGCAAGGAUUAGACAUUAGCCGCAGAAGCAGCACUAGGAGAUGAAGAAGAAGAAGAAGAGCACACCCCAACGGCAUCAAAUUAUGCGGAACUGCAUUUUCACUUUUGCCACAGAGAAAUGAACACGAUUUGCACUGGAUGGCGAGAUGGCAGUGGGGAUCGGGUCAAGUUGAUGGAAGCUGAAGUAGCAUCUGUUUCUGUCUGCUGCCAGUUGGCCGUUAUCCGUUAUGUGUGCAUACAAUGAGUGUCCUGCGUCUCGCCUCCCGCCUCCCGCCUGGCGUCAGAUGCGUCCUGCGUUUUGUGGCACUGUCAAGAUGCAAAUUUCGCUCGCACAUGAUAUCGAAAAUCUCGAGAACUGCACCCAAUCAACUGGAAAUUACCAAGCGUCGAGUUAAGUGCCCAGCAGCAGCAGCAGCAGCACCGACUCACAGUGCGCAGCUGAAUUGAUAACAGAUUCAGCGAAACAACAGCAACAACAAUUACAGCAACAACAAUGGCUAGCAAAAACAACAAUGAAGGGCGAUAAGCGACGCAAGCGGCUCGCGGCUCGCGGCAUGCGGCACGCGGCCCACGGCUUCGCGGUUCUCGACUGCACAAGCUGGAGCCAGCCGGUGGGUCGGCCAGCGUCUAGCGUGGGCGUGGCAGCAGCAGCAGAACUAUAGUGCACCCUGUUGCGCCAACGGCAGCGCGGCAGCAAAUGCCGUUGCUCAGCUAGUCGUACCGCACUGAAAAUCCAUAGCCGGGCGAGGCGAGCGAGCCGGCGCGAUGCGACGUCGCGUGAGUGCGAGGGAGACAGAUGCGACUGCUGCGGCCAUUUUGGUGGGAGCAGGCCCGCUAUAGUCAACGGCAACAACAACAAAGACGCAAUCAUCGCCCUCGCGACGGCAGCGGCAGCGCCAGCGUCGCCGUCGACCGCAACUGCGCCCGCCACUGCAGCUGGUCAGCGGCCCAGUCUUUGGAGACUUGCCGCAACCUCGAAGCGUACGUACGACUGAGCAAGACUCUGAGCAAUGGAAUUCGACGUCUGCGACUCUAGAGAAUCCGCUGCCUCUGGCUGUGUCUGUGUUCCUGUCUGUGUAUGCGCGAAGCCUGAGCGAAAACUUUUGAGUGAAAGAAUGGCAAGUGGCCAGAGAUGAAUUCCAGAGGCUCUCACUCAUUCUCCCGACUUGAGCUUCCAUAAACAAAAUGCUUUUCAUUUGAAAAACUAUUUUUAAACCAAUUUAUAAUUUUAUUUUGCUUGGUGUUGUGCUUUAUAAUGUUUGCAGAUCAAGCCCAUGAAACUUGUGGAUUAUAACUAUAAAAAUACACUUCAGAGCACGCAGGGCACACAUGAUUAUUGGAUGCAUUUAAGCUCCGUCUGCGAUUUGUGAUUUAUAUUUUUCAUUUGCGCAAUUUACAAAGCGGUACAUCAUUGGUGCAAUUAAACUGUAGUAAACGUGGACGUGGACGUGGACGGACGACGCAGAGAACAAGACGUUCUGCCACUUGGCUGGCUCUCGUAUAAUUUUUAUUAAGUCGUUCUGAGGAAUGCACCGCCGAGGCGAGUCGAGUCGAGCCGGGUCGAGUGCUGCAUGAAGGCUGAGGGCUGGCCCAUAAACCCACAUUUCUGACGGGGGCUGCCCUCUCGCCUGCUCUGUGUGUUAACUACGCGGAGGGGAGCGGACCAGGAACUGGAACUGGAGUCAUAAAACACGGCUAUAUGCGACAGCGUCGAAGGAUUAAAAAAUGACUGCGUGACAAAGCAUUUUAUAAUCGUCAUCUGAUUCACUUAAAAACACAUUCAUCGCCGCCACCACUGACUCGAUGUCGGAGUUCAGACCCGCCGUGAAGCUGUGAAGCGAUCCGAAUUUGGGCUCGGGCGAACCGCAAGGGCCAAAACAAGCCAUAAACCGCCGCAAUAAAAAUGUAUCAAAUUAAGGAAUAAAUUUCAUGUGCAACAGCAA